GCCAGGUAGUUAAGUUGGUAAAGCAUUUAACUUGAGAUUCGGGGGACCCGGUUUCAAAUCCCGGUCUGGGCU
rnacentral:tRNA from 1 species